AACGAACGCUGGCGGCAUGCCUAACACAUGCAAGUCGAACGAAACCUUCGGGUCUAGUGGCGCACGGGUGCGUAACGCGUGGGAACCUGCCCUUAGGUUCGGAAUAACUCUCCGAAAGGGGUGCUAAUACCGGAUAAUGUCUUCGGACCAAAGAUUUAUCGCCUUUGGAUGGGCCCGCGUUGGAUUAGCUAGUUGGUAGGGUAAAAGCCUACCAAGGCGACGAUCCAUAGCUGGUCUGAGAGGAUGAUCAGCCACACUGGGACUGAGACACGGCCCAGACUCCUACGGGAGGCAGCAGUGGGGAAUAUUGGACAAUGGGCGAAAGCCUGAUCCAGCAAUGCCGCGUGAGUGAUGAAGGCCUUAGGGUUGUAAAGCUCUUUUACCCGGGAUGAUAAUGACAGUACCGGGAGAAUAAGCGCCGGCUAACUCCGUG
rnacentral:rRNA from 1 species